UACGUAGGGUGCGAGCGUUGUCCGGAAUUAUUGGGCGUAAAGGGCUCGUAGGCGGUUUGUCGCGUCGGGAGUGAAAACCUCGGGCUUAACUCGGGGCUUGCUUUCGAUACGGGCAGACUGGAGGUAUGCAGGGGAGAACGGAAUUCCUGGUGUAGCGGUGAAAUGCGCAGAUAUCAGGAAGAACACCGGUGGCGAAGGCGGCCUGCUGGGCAGUUUAGCUGACACUGAGGCGCGACAGCGUGGGGAGCAAACAGG
rnacentral:rRNA from 1 species